rnacentral:rRNA from 1 species
UGAAACUGCGAAUGGCUCAUUAAAUCAGUUAUCGUUUAUUUGAUAGUACCUUACUACAUGGAUAACCGUGGUAAUUCUAGAGCUAAUACAUGCUAAAAACCCCGACUUCGGAAGGGGUGUAUUUAUUAGAUAAAAAACCAAUGCCCUUCGGGGCUCCUUGGUGAUUCAUGAUAACUUAACGAAUCGCAUGGCCUUGCGCCGGCGAUGGUUCAUUCAAAUUUCUGCCCUAUCAACUUUCGAUGGUAGGAUAGUGGCCUACCAUGGUAUCAACGGGUAACGGGGAAUUAGGGUUCUAUUCCGGAGAGGGAGCCUGAGAAACGGCUACCACAUCCAAGGAAGGCAGCAGGCGCGCAAAUUACCCAAUCCCGACACGGGGAGGUAGUGACAAUAAAUACUGAUACAGGGCUCUUUUGGGUCUUGUAAUUGGAAUGAGUACAAUUUAAAUACCUUAACGAGGAACAAUUGGAGGGCAAGUCUGGUGCCAGCAGCCGCGGUAAUUCCAGCUCCAAUAGCGUAUAUUAAAGUUGUUGCAGUUAAAAAGCUCGUAGUUGAACCUUGGGCCUGGCUGGCCGGUCCGCCUCACCGCGUGUACUGGUCCGGCCGGGCCUUUCCUCCUGGGGAUCCGCAUGCCCUUCACUGGGUGUGUCGGGGAACCAGGACUUUUACUUUGAAAAAAUUAGAGUGUUCAAAGCAGGCCUUUGCUCGAAUACAUUAGCAUGGAAUAAUAGAAUAGGACGUGCGGUCCUAUUUUGUUGGUUUCUAGGACCGCCGUAAUGAUUAAUAGGGAUAGUCGGGGGCAUCAGUAUUCAAUUGUCAGAGGUGAAAUUCUUGGAUUUAUUGAAGACUAACUACUGCGAAAGCAUUUGCCAAGGAUGUUUUCAUUAAUCAGUGAACGAAAGUUAGGGGAUCGAAGACGAUCAGAUACCGUCGUAGUCUUAACCGUAAACUAUGCCGACUAGGGAUCGGGCGAUGUUAUUAUUUUGACUCGCUCGGCACCUUACG